rnacentral:rRNA from 1 species
UAUUGGACAAUGGGGGCAACCCUGAUCCAGCCAUGCCGCGUGAGUGAUGAAGGCCCUAGGGUUGUAAAGCUCUUUUAGCAGGGAAGAUNNUGACGGUACCUGCAGAAAAAGCCCCGGCUAACUUCGUGCCAGCAGCCGCGGUAAUACGAAGGGGGCUAGCGUUGCUCGGAAUCACUGGGCGUAAAGCGCACGUAGGCGGCUUCUUAAGUCAGGGGUGAAAUCCUGGAGCUCAACUCCAGAACUGCCUUUGAUACUGAGAAGCUUGAGUCCGGGAGAGGUGAGUGGAACUGCGAGUGUAGAGGUGAAAUUCGUAGAUAUUCGCAAGAACACCAGUGGCGAAGGCGGCUCACUGGCCCGGUACUGACGCUGAGGUGCGAAAGCGUGGGGAGCAAACAGG